CUACUCUUGACAUCCAGAGAACUUUCCAGAGAUGGAUUGGUGCCUUCGGGAACCCUGAGACAGGUGCUGCAUGGCUGUCGUCAGCUCGUGUUGUGAAAUGUUGGGUUAAGUCCCGCAACGAGCGCAACCCUUAUCCUUUGUUGCCAGCGCGUGAUGGCGGGAACUCAAAGGAGACUGCCGGUGAUAAACCGGAGGAAGGUGGGGAUGACGUCGAGUCAUCAUGGCCCUUACGAGUAGGGCUACACACGUGCUACAAUGGCGCAUACAAAGAGAAGCGACCUCGCGAGAGCAAGCGGACCUCACAAAGUGCGUCGUAGUCCGGAUCGGAGUCUGCAACUCGACUCCGUGAAGUCGGAAUCGCUAGUAAUCGCAGAUCAGCAACGCUGCGGUGAAUACGUUCCC
rnacentral:rRNA from 1 species